UCCUGCAUGAAAGGCCAGCCACGAUAACGACGACUAGUGAUGGAAUGAUGCCGUUUUCGGUGUCUCACUAUGACCACGUGGCAACGAACUUUUCAUUCGUGGGAUACGAACUGCAAGGUGUGACGUCAUCAGCAACAGACCUACUAAAGGAGCGACGCGACUACGACCAGAUCAGAGGGCACGGCAGCUGGCCUGCGGACAGCAUGGCUCACCCGCUUCUGCUGUUUGUGCAGGUGGCGACGAGGUGGUUCCAUCGGAAAUCAUGGCUGAGAAGACGACGGUGCUGCCGCUUCGGAGCUUCGUGGCGAGGAUUGCGAACGUUCCACCUCCACCGCAAUGCUACGCGAAGGACGAGUCACAGCAGCAGCAGCACACCUGCCACGAGAAAGUGAAAACGACAUUGAAGACUGAGAAAACCGGGUUCGCCGUGGCGCGAGACCGACGUCGUCGCCCAUGCCGGAGCGGCUUGAGAACGUCGGAACAAAGGGCUGUCAUUCAUUCAAGGGCUCUCCCCUUCCCCCUGACGCCUGUCCCAGACAACCGUGUUUGCUCUCGCCGUCCGCCUACUUCUAACCGUUCCACCGUCUGCCUCCCGUGGAUCUGUGCCUUCCGUACGUGAACCUGCCCUACCACAAUCAACACAUCUUGGAUCAACCCGCAACGUCAUCAGUGCUGCAUGUGCCAUCACUGCCAUCAGUCUACCGCAUCUCGGAUCAAUGGACAACCCCAUCGCCAGGAACAUCAUCCGCUGCUGCUACAAAACCCGUGCGCUCAUCGCCACCGCUCUGUGGGCCCGGUAGCUGCGCGACAGUGCAGUCUACU